rnacentral:rRNA from 1 species
AUUGAACGCUGGCGGCAGGCCUAACACAUGCAAGUCGAACGGUAGCACAGAGAGCUUGCUCUCGGGUGACGAGUGGCGGACGGGUGAGUAACGUCUGGGAAACUGCCCGAUGGAGGGGGAUAACUACUGGAAACGGUAGCUAAUACCGCAUAACGUCGCAAGACCAAAGUGGGGGACCUUCGGGCGUCACACCAUCGGAUGUGCGCAGAUGGGAUUAGCUAGUAGGUGGGGUAAUGGCUCACCUAGGCGACGAUCCCUAGCUGGUCUGAGAGGAUGACCAGCCACACUGGAACUGAGACACGGUCCAGACUCCUACGGGAGGCAGCAGUGGGGAAUAUUGCACAAUGGGCGCAAGCCUGAUGCAGCCAUGCCGCGUGUAUGAAGAAGGCCUUCGGGUUGUAAAGUACUUUCAGCGGGGAGGAAGGCGGUGGAGUUAAUAACUUCACCGAUUGACGUUACCCGCAGAAGAAGCACCGGCUAACUCCGAGCCAGCAGCCGCCGUAA